AAGGAGCAUAGGUGCUAAUUCAAAUCCUAUAGGCCAAACCUAAUGUUUAUUGGUAUACAGUGCGAGCAAAUCAUUUCUCUUAUCAUAACCGUACGCUUUUUUGGAAGACCCCUAUUUCUUUAGUCUCUACCUAAUAAAAACGAUUUGGGCCAGGUUGGAGCAAAGCUGCAGCAUCUUAAGCUACUUCCUUUAACUCUCGUGACUCAUUGGAGAAGAUGCCAACCUAUAUAUCUUCUGUUUAUUUUUCAUUUUUUCUUUGGAUUGUUCAGUGGAAGGAAUUGAAUUAUUUUUCAUUUUUUCUUCGGAUUGUUCGGUGGAAAGAAUUGAACAUGAGAGGUAGCAUUGUUAAUGUCAACUGCUAAUCAUUUAGUCUAAAUCUGAUCUCUACCAAUCUAUAAGUCUAGAGAUCUACAUUUUUAUUUUUGGUCGCUAAUUUGUAUUCACACCUCCAGCAAUUAUAAAUGAGAAAUUGUAGUUAAAAAUUGAAAACGUAGUAGUUUAAAUUUUUUAUUAUGCAUUGGCUUUUCAAAUAGUGUCAUUUUCAUGGAAGUUGGUGUCCCUAUCAAGCGUGGUGGUUUUUAUAGGAUUAUUUGUUGCAAUUUUUGAGAAAGAAAUUUUGUAUUGUUUUGGGAUGAGAUUUUUGCACCAAAGUGAUACUUAUUCGUGAAGGAUUUCUCGAACUCCGGUCUGGUCUUUGAUUCUUUACGGUUUUUUAUUUAUUUUUAUUUUUUAUUUUUAAUAUAUCUCAUUUUAAUAUCUAUUUUCUGGUGAAUUCAAUGUUCUGGUUAGUUUUCUGGUCUAAUAAUUUUAGCUUCCCGUUAACUUUCUUCUCAAUCGAGCUGAAAGUUGCAGAUUUGCUGAAAUGAUGCAGGAAUUUCUAAGUAUUUACAUGUUACUCAUUUCAUUUCUAUGUAUCCACUUCUUGAUUGGGAACUACUGUAAACAAUAUUUGACACUUGCUUCUGUGUGGGUCAAAUAUAAAAACCUUUGAUGCAACUCUGGGCCUAUUACAUUCUCUAGUUUUUCUAUUUCAAUGGCCCGUUGGUUUACCUAAUAACCCUCUCACUCUUGUAUAAUUUAGAAGUUUCAUAGAUUGUAUCUACCCAAUUGUUUAUUCGAAGAUAUUUUCUGUCUCUUUGUUUCUUUGUGUAUUUAUUGGUCAAAUCCUCUUUAGAUGAUCCAUCAAUAGAUUUUUAUUAUGUACUUGCUGUAUUUGUAUUUGCAACAUUCAUUUGAGACUCCCCACUGAACAUGUAUUCCAUGUGCUUGCAGAUUGAAAGAUAGCAUAAACAAAAAGCAUUUCCGGGUUAUCUUUGAGGAAAAAGUGAACAAACAGUGCAGAUCUCAAAACCUGGUCCAUCCAGCAUUCAAGAGCUUCUUGUAUGAAACAGAAGAGAUAUUGAACCUAAACAAUGCUAGGGCAAGUAUUUUAUUACUGCAAGGGUGUUCUUU